AGAGUUUGAUCCUGGCUCAGGACGAACGCUGGCGGCGUGCCUAAUACAUGCAAGUCGUACGCUUCUUUUUCCACCGGAGCUUGCUCCACCGGAAAAAGAGGAGUGGCGUACGGGUGAGUAACACGUGGGUAACCUGCCCAUCAGAAGGGGAUAACACUUGGAAACAGGUGCUAAUACCGUAUAACAAUCGAAACCGCAUGGUUUUGAUUUGAAAGGCGCUUUCGGGUGUCGCUGAUGGAUGGACCCGCGGUGCAUUAGCUAGUUGGUGAGGUAACGGCUCACCAAGGCCACGAUGCAUAGCCGACCUGAGAGGGUGAUCGGCCACAUUGGGACUGAGACACGGCCCAAACUCCUACGGGAGGCAGCAGUAGGGAAUCUUCGGCAAUGGACGAAAGUCUGACCGAGCAACGCCGCGUGAGUGAAGAAGGUUUUCGGAUCGUAAAACUCUGUUGUUAGAGAAGAACAAGGAUGAGAGUAACUGUUCAUCCCUUGACGGUAUCUAACCAGAAAGCCACGGCUAACUACGUGCCAGCAGCCGCGGUAAUACGUAGGUGGCAAGCGUUGUCCGGAUUUAUUGGGCGUAAAGCGAGCGCAGGCGGUUUCUUAAGUCUGAUGUGAAAGCCCCCGGCUCAACCGGGGAGGGUCAUUGGAAACUGGGAGACUUGAGUGCAGAAGAGGAGAGUGGAAUUCCAUGUGUAGCGGUGAAAUGCGUAGAUAUAUGGAGGAACACCAGUGGCGAAGGCGGCUCUCUGGUCUGUAACUGACGCUGAGGCUCGAAAGCGUGGGGAGCAAACAGGAUUAGAUACCCUGGUAGUCCGCGCCGUAAACGAUGAGUGCUAAGUGUUGGAGGGUUUCCGCCCUUCAGUGCUGCAGCUAACGCAUUAAGCACUCCGCCUGGGGAGUACGACCGCAAGGUUGAAACUCAAAGGAAUUGACGGGGGCCCGCACAAGCGGUGGAGCAUGUGGUUUAAUUCGAAGCAACGCGAAGAACCUUACCAGGUCUUGACAUCCUUUGACCACUCUAGAGAUAGAGCUUCCCCUUCGGGGGCAAAGUGACAGGUGGUGCAUGGUUGUCGUCAGCUCGUGUCGUGAGAUGUUGGGUUAAGUCCCGCAACGAGCGCAACCCUUAUUGUUAGUUGCCAUCAUUCAGUUGGGCACUCUAGCAAGACUGCCGGUGACAAACCGGAGGAAGGUGGGGAUGACGUCAAAUCAUCAUGCCCCUUAUGACCUGGGCUACACACGUGCUACAAUGGGAAGUACAAUGAGUUGCGAAGUCGCGAGGCUAAGCUAAUCUCUUAAAGCUUCUCUCAGUUCGGAUUGCAGGCUGCAACUCGCCUGCAUGAAGCCGGAAUCGCUAGUAAUCGCGGAUCAGCACGCCGCGGUGAAUACGUUCCCGGGCCUUGUACACACCGCCCGUCACACCACGAGAGUUUGUAACACCCGAAGUCGGUGAGGUAACCUUUUUGGAGCCAGCCGCCUAAGGUGGGAUAGAUGAUUGGGGUGAAGUCGUAACAAGGUAACC
rnacentral:rRNA from 1 species